rnacentral:rRNA from 1 species
CACGUAAGUUGCGAGCGUUGUUCGGAAUUAUUGGGCGUAAAGGGCAUGUAGGCGGUUCUGCAAGUCUGGUGUGAAAUACCGGGGCUCAACCCCGGAACUGCGUUGGAAACUGCGGAACUGGAGUCGCUGAGGGGCAGCCAGAAUUCCAGGUGUAGGGGUGAAAUCUGUAGAUAUCUGGAAGAAUACCAAUGGCGAAGGCAGGCUGCCAGCAGAUGACUGACGCUGAGGUGCGAAGGUGCGGGGAGCAAACAGG